rnacentral:rRNA from 1 species
UACGGGGGGGGGCGAGCGUUGUUCGGAAUUACUGGGCGUAAAGGGUUUGUAGGUGGUCUGCUAAGUCAGACGUGAAAUCCCUCAGCUUAACUGGGGAACUGCGUCUGAUACUGGCGGACUUGAGGACAGGAGAGGAACGCGGAAUUCCAGGUGUAGCGGUGAAAUGCGUAGAUAUCUGGAGGAACACCGGUGGCGAAGGCGGCGUUCUGGACUGUUUCUGACACUGAAAAACGAAAGCCAGGGGAGCAAACGGG